GAUGAACGCUGGCGGCGUGCCUAAUACAUGCAAGUAGAACGCUGAAGGAGGAGCUUGCUCUUCUGGAUGAGUUGCGAACGGGUGAGUAACGCGUAGGUAACCUGCCUGGUAGCGGGGGAUAACUAUUGGAAACGAUAGCUAAUACCGCAUGACAACAGUUAUUGCAUGAUAACUGUUUAAAAGGGGCAACUGCUCCACUACCAGAUGGACCUGCGUUGUAUUAGCUAGUUGGUGAGGUAACGGCUCACCAAGGCGACGAUACAUAGCCGACCUGAGAGGGGGAUCGCCCACACUGGGACUGAGACACGGCCCAGACUCCUACGGGAGGCAGCAGUAGGGAAUCUUCGGCAAUAGACGGAAGUCUGACCGAGCAACGCCGCGUGAGUGAAGAAGGUUUUCGGAUCGUAAAGCUCUGUUGUAAGAGAAGAACGAGUGUGAGAGUGGAAAGUUCACACUGUGACGGUAUCUUACCAGAAAGGGACGGCUAACUACGUG
rnacentral:rRNA from 1 species